rnacentral:pre_miRNA from 14 species
UCAUUCCUUCAGUGUUGAAACAAUCUCUAUUGAACCAGGCUCCAAACCAAGUUCACUGGAGUUUGUUUCAAUAUUGCAAGAAUGAUCAGAU